GACGAACGCUGGCGGCGUGCUUAACACAUGCAAGUCGAACGGAAAGGCCCUGCUUUUGUGGGGUGCUCGAGUGGCGAACGGGUGAGUAACACGUGAGUAACCUGCCCUUGACUUUGGGAUAACUUCAGGAAACUGGGGCUAAUACCGGAUAAGAGCUCCUGCUGCAUGGUGGGGGUUGGAAAGUUUCGGCGGUUGGGGAUGGACUCGCGGCUUAUCAGCUUGUUGGUGGGGUAGUGGCUUACCAAGGCUUUGACGGGUAGCCGGCCUGAGAGGGUGAACGGGCACAGUGGGACAGAGAUACGGCCCAGAGUCGUACGGGAUGCAGCAGUGGGGAAUAUUGCGCAAUGGGCGGAAGUCAGGUGCAGCAACGCCGCGUGCGGGAUGACGGCCUUCGGGUUGUAAACCGCUUUCGCCUGUGACGAAGCGGGAGUGACGGUAAUGGGUAAAGAAGCACCGGCUAACUACGUG
rnacentral:rRNA from 1 species